AUUCUGCCCAUGCGGGAAAGGAUGAGAAGCUUCGACCAAGGUUCGACUUGAGCGCCAGCGAGAGAGCGUUGCCGCAGGCAACGACCCGAAGGG
rnacentral:sRNA from 1 species